rnacentral:rRNA from 1 species
GUAGGGAAUAUUGCACAAUGGAGGAAACUCUGAUGCAGCGACGCCGCGUGAGUGAUGAAGGCCUUCGGGUCGUAAAGCUCUGUCGCAGGGGAAUAACACAAUGAAGGUACCCUGUAAGAAAGGAUCGGCUAACUUCGUGCCAGCAGCCGCGGUAAGACGAGGGAUCCUAGCGUUGUUCGUAAUCAUUGGGCGUAAAGCGGAUGUAGGUGGCUAUGUAAGUCAGAUGUGAAAGCCUGGGGCUCAACCCCAGAAGUGCAUUUGAUACUGCGUAGCUUGAGUGUCGGAGAGGUUACUAGAAUUGUUGGUGUAGUGGUGAAAUACGUAGAUAUCAACAGGAAUACCGGAGGCGAAGGCGGGUAACUGGCCGAACACUGACACUGAGAUCCGAAAGCGUGGGGAGCAAACAGGAUUAGAAACCCGAGUAGUCC